rnacentral:rRNA from 1 species
AGCAGUCGCCGCGGUAAAACGAAGGGGGCUAGCGUUGUUCGGAUUUACUGGGCGUAAAGCGCACGUAGGCGGAUCCUUAAGUCAGAGGUGAAAUCCCAAGGCUCAACCUUGGAACUGCCUUUGAUACUGGGGAUCUCGAGUUCGGGAGAGGUGAGUGGAACUGCGAGUGUAGAGGUGAAAUUCGUAGAUAUUCGCAAGAACACCAGUGGCGAAGGCGGCUCACUGGCCCGGUACUGACGCUGAGGCGCGAAAGCGUGGGGAGCAAACAGGAUUAGAUACCCGAGUAGUCCCUGUCUCUUAUAC